AUACGGAGGAUGCGAGCGUUAUCCGGAUUUAUUGGGUUUAAAGGGAGCGUAGGUGGGAUAUUAAGUCAGCUGUGAAAGUUUGGGGCUCAACCUUAAAAUUGCAGUUGAUACUGGUUUCCUUGAGUACAGUAGAGGUGGGCGGAAUUCGUGGUGUAGCGGUGAAAUGCUUAGAUAUCACGAAGAACUCCGAUUGCGAAGGCAGCUCACUAGACUGUUACUGACACUGAUGCUCGAAAGUGUGGGUAUCAAACAGGAUUAGAUACCCUGGUAGUCCACACAGUAAACGAUGAAUACUCGCUGUUUGCGAUAUACAGUAAGCGGCCAAGCGAAAGCAUUAAGUAUUCCACCUGGGGAGUACGCCGGCAACGGUGAAACUUAAAGGAAUUGACGGGG
rnacentral:rRNA from 1 species